CACGUAGGGGGCAAGCGUUGUCCGGAUUUAUUGGGCGUAAAGAGCGCGCAGGCGGUGCGAUCAGUCGAAUGUGAAAGCCCCCGGCUCAACUGGGGAGGGUCAUUCGAUACUGUCGGACUCGAAGGCAGGAGAGGGAAGCGGAAUUCCCGGUGUAGUGGUGAAAUGCGUAGAUAUCGGGAGGAACACCAGUGGCGAAGGCGGCUUCCUGGCCUGUUCUUGACGCUGAGGCGCGAAAGCUAGGGGAGCAAACGGG
rnacentral:rRNA from 1 species